CCUACGGGUGGCUGCAGUAGGGAAUUUUCGUCAAUGGGCGCAAGCCUGAACGAGCGAUGCCGCGUGAGUGAAGAAGGCCUUCGGGUUGUAAACUGCUUUUAUAAGCGAGAAAUAUGAUGGUAACUUAUGAAUAAGGAUCGGCUAACUACGUGCCAGCAGCCGCGGUCAUACGUAGGAUCCGAGCAUUAUCCGGAGUGACUGGGUGUAAAGAGGUGCGUAGGUGGCAUAAUAAGUAGCUAGUGAAAUCUGGUGGCUCAACCAUUCAGACUAUUAGCUAAACUGUUAAGCUCGAGACCGUUAGAGGUAACUGGAAUUUCUAGUGUAGGAGUGAAAUCCGUAGAUAUUAGAAAGAACACCAAUAGCGUAGGCAGGUUACUGGGACGGUUCUGACACUAAGGCACGAAAGCGUAGGGAGCAAACGGGAUUAGAUACCCGGGUAGUC
rnacentral:rRNA from 1 species